rnacentral:rRNA from 1 species
UACGUAGGUGGCGAGCGUUGUCCGGAUUUACUGGGCGUAAAGGGCGUGCAGGCGGUUUGUUAAGUUCAGGGUGAAAGCUCCCGGCUCAACUGGGAGAGGUCCUUGGAUACUGGCAGACUUGAGGAGGGUAGAGGAGAGUGGAAUUCCCGGUGUAGUGGUGAUAUGCGUAGAUAUCGGGAGGAACACCAGUGGCGAAGGCGGCUCUCUGGGCCCUACCUGACGCUGAGACGCGAAAGCGUGGGGAGCGAACCGG